AUUGAACGCUGGCGGCAGGCCUAACACAUGCAAGUCGAGCGGAUGAAGGGGGCUUGCUCCUGGAUUCAGCGGCGGACGGGUGAGUAAUGCCUAGGAAUCUGCCUGGUAGUGGGGGAUAACGUCCGGAAACGGGCGCUAAUACCGCAUACGGCCUGAGGGAGAAAGUGGGGGAUCUUCGGACCUCACGCUAUCAGAUGAGCCUAGGCCGGAUUAGCUAGUUGGUGGGGUAAAGGCCUACCAAGGCGACGAUCCGUAACUGGUCUGAGAGGAUGAUCAGUCACACUGGAACUGAGACACGGUCCAGACUCCUACGGGAGGCAGCAGUGGGGAAUAUUGGACAAUGGGCGAAAGCCUGAUCCAGCCAUGCCGCGUGUGUGAAGAAGGUCUUCGGAUUGUAAAGCACUUUAAGUUGGGAGGAAGGGCAGUAAGUUAAUACCUUGCUGUUUUGACGUUACCAACAGAAUAAGCACCGGCUAACUUCGUG
rnacentral:rRNA from 1 species